rnacentral:lncRNA from 1 species
GAAUGAGCACAAUUGAAGAUGCACGGCGUGCACCGCUGCACGCCGUUCACCUGCUUUUGGUGCGCGGAACAGACUCCUUUGGAAGGUGCAUGGCGUGCACCCCUGCACGGCGUGCACCUUGCCAGAUCCAGCUGCAACUAUAAAAAGGGAAGGUGGAGGAAAGAGAAAGAGAACUUUUCCCAGCUCGAUUUUCCCCAAUUUCUCCCGAGUUUUCUCUGCAAAAACCAGCUCCCAACCUCAUCUAGAGCCCAAAUUGAAGAUCUAAAGGAGCUGCCUUUGAAGGAUUGAAGCCAGGAGUGAAGCUAGGAGAUCAAGAGCAUCGAUUGGAGGAAGAUAAAGCCGAUUAUUUUCUGUAAUAAGAUGGUUAGGUCUUCUUUCCAAAUGCUUUCUUCUAGAAUCAUGUUGAGCUAAUUUCCUUGAGAUUCUUGGAUGAGAUGUAGGAAUUGAGCUAUGAAA